rnacentral:lncRNA from 1 species
CAGAAAUAUGGACACUUUAUUUAUGUGAAAGAGUCAGGAGAAGAACUGGCCACAGUGGGCCAUUCAAGUUAUUUCUGCCCAAGUGAUCUUCGAUUCAUCCUGUGUCCAAGGAGUUUGUCCUUUUCAUCCGGGCUGCCAAAUGUUUCGACUUGAAGUAGUUCAUGAUGUCCCCCUAUUAUCUUUGUAAUAUGUGUAGAAUCCACAGUGGCGUCACCUGUCUUGUUCCUAACAUUGGAGUGGAACGUGGUGGAUUUUCCCUACAUGCGGCUUUGGCUAAACCGCACGUUCCCCUCCCUCCUGAGGGUCUGUCUCCUCAUCCACCCGCUAGUGCAUCUCCAGCUUCUGUACCUCAGACUCACCUUGAAAGUCCACUUGACAUCCAUCACUGUGCAGUCAGUCAGGAAAAGGAAGCCACACUCGUUAUUUCAAACAGAAGGAAGUUAAUACAGAGAACUGGUUACACAGGUGCUGGAGGCUGGAAGAGAAGACGGGCACCGAGGCACCUGACGUUGUGAACAGCAGGAAGCAGCUUCCACUCCCAGGGCUGGGGGAACAAAUGAAAGAGGUUGGGCUGCCAGAACCCAGGAGCACAGAGAAAGGAUGGAGUGGCAGAGCCAGUAUUGGGAGUGCCAAAAGAAGUGGUGGGCUGGAGUAGCCACCCCCCUCUAUGGCUGGAGGGCCCUGAAAGAAGCUGGUGAAGGAACAGAAAUCUCCUCUCCUCACCUCCCACCAGUGCCUUCCAGGAAGACAUCUGGUCAAAGAGCCUGAAAAUACAGUGUGCACAAUCCCAGCCGCAUGUAUCAGUCAGCUAUUGCUGCAUAACAAAGCACCCAAAAACCAAGGGCUUACAACAAUGUGUUUCAUGGAUGAUAGACGGAUAGAGAGAUAGAAGAGAUAGGUAGAAAUGUGUGUGCGCACGUGUGUGUGUGUGUGUGUGUGUGUGUGAAUGUGUGUGUGUAUGGAUUAGGGUAUAUACAGAUGCUUUCUAGUAUUCUCCCCUGAGAAGGUCUACCAAAAAAAAAUGACACCCCAGUAGUAACUACCACACCCAAUGUCCAGAUCUUGGUUUCUAAAUACCAUUUUCCAAUUAAAAGAAUCAGGACUCCUUAGAGAAGUAGCUGGGUCUCUGGGGAAGGAAAUUACAAGAUAAACCUGGAGCAUUUUAUGGUGCCAGAAAGUGAGGAAGGGCUCAAAAACAGAUAGGGUGAAAGCACACAGGAGCCACUGUGAAGGGGCUGCCAUGGCCAACACUGGAACAAUUUGAGAAACAAAAUAAAGAUAAUGUUGGAUUAUAACCCAAAUAAUAAAAUAAGUAUCUACAAACCCAUAGUGAAGUAAAUAACUGCACAAACAAAUAAGAAGAAACAGCUUAUUUUAAUAGAAUUCCAGUUACUUAAUGCAGAAGAAAUGAAGUAAAUAGAAAAUCACCAUCAGAGGCCACAGGAUUAACAGCUGUCUACAGAGGUAUGCUAAAGUCAAUAGGCUGAGGUUAGAAGAGAAACAAGUUAUUUACAUGAAUUCAAAGUAUCUUCCCUAAGAUAUUUAUUAAUUACAAAGUCGCAAAAUAGUAACUUUGCAGUGCAGAGACCUGGCAGACGCCACCUGAACCAAGGGUUCAAGGUUAACAUCCCCAGCAAUGGGACAGGCAGCGUCAUACACUCUGAUAAGCUACAUAAGAGCACGUGGCCGGGCCCACUGGCUCACACCUAUAAUCCCAGCAUUUGGAGAGGCCACAUUGGGAAAACCGCUUGAGGCCAGGAGUUCGA